rnacentral:misc_RNA from 1 species
UGGACAUUGACCUGUUAAAAGAACCAGGUGGAUGGGUACUGGUUCAAGUGGCGGAUCAAUUGUUUAAUCAAUGGGUCAUAAAAAUAUUAAUUGAAUAUAUUUUAAUUCAAUAUUACUAAUUCAAAUUAAUUAUAAAUAACUUGCAUUCUAACUAAAGGUUCAUAAACAUGAUCCAACGUAAAAUUAAAUGCACUAAAAUGACAGUUAAAAGCAUUUAAAUGAUAGUAUAACUGUACAAGUAAAAUUAAAGUGUAGAUAAGCUCACCUAUCAAAACCAA